GCCCGCUUGGCUAAGUGGUAUAGCGUGUCACUAGUAACAUCUAGAUGUCAUGACAAGAUCAGCGGUUCGAUUCCGCUAGUGGGCA
rnacentral:tRNA from 1 species